GACGAACGCUGGCGGCGUGCUUAACACAUGCAAGUCGAGCGAGGCCCCUCCUUCGGGAGGGUGUCCUAGCGGCGAACGGGUGAGUAACACGUGGGCAACCUGCCCUCAGCUCUGGGAUAACUCCGGGAAACCGGGGCUAAUACCGGAUACGACCUCCACGGGCAUCUGCGGAGGUGGAAAGUUUUUCGGCUGAGGAUGGGCCCGCGGCCUAUCAGCUAGUUGGUGGGGUAGUGGCCCACCAAGGCGACGACGGGAAGCCGGCCUGAGAGGGCGACCGGCCACACUGGGACUGAGACACGGCCCAGACUCCUACGGGAGGCAGCAGUGGGGAAUAUUGCGCAAUGGGCGAAAGCCUGACGCAGCGACGCCGCGUGAGGGACGAAGGCCUUCGGGUUGUAAACCUCUUUCAGCAGGGACGAAGCGAAAGUGACGGUACCUGCAGAAGAAGCACCGGCCAACUACGUG
rnacentral:rRNA from 1 species